GCAGACACAUUCCAACCAAUCAGCAGCAGACCCUCCCUCCCAGACCCUCCCACCUCCUGGACAGAUUCCAUUUUGAAGCUGCAUUCUUAGUGAGCUGCCCAGGAGGUGGGAGGGUCUGGGAGGGAGGGUCUGCUGCUGAUUGGCUGGAAUGUGUCUG